rnacentral:rRNA from 1 species
UACGGAGGGUGCGAGCGUUGUCCGGAAUCACUGGGCGUAAAGCGCGCGUAGGCGGCUUUUCAAGUCAGAGGUGAAAUCCCCAGGCUCAACCUGGGAAUUGCCUUUGAAACUGUAAAGCUGGAGUGUCGGAGGGGAUAGCGGAAUUGCUAAUGUAGAGGUGAAAUUCGUAGAUAUUAGCAGGAACACCGGUGGCGAAGGCGGCUAUCUGGACGACAACUGACGCUGAGGCGCGAAAGCGUGGGGAUCAAACAGG